GACGCAGUAGGAUAGGCGAAGCGUGCUGUUGGAGUGCACGUCCAAGCAGUGAGAUUGAGUGUUAGGCAAAUCCGGCACUCUUAAGAUUGAGCUGUGAUGGGGAGAGGAACUUGUUCCUCGAGUCGUUGAUUUCACACUGCCGAGAAAAGCCUCUAGCUAGAAUAACGGUGCCCGUACCGCAAACCGACACAGGUAGUCAAGAUGAGAAUUCUAAGGUGAGCGAGCGAACUCUCGUUAAGGAACUCGGCAAAAUGACCCCGUAACUUCGGGAGAAGGGGUGCUCUUUGAGGUUCACGCUUCGAAGAGCCGCAGUGAAUAGGCCCAAGCGACUGUUUAUCAAAAACACAGGUCUCUGCUAAACCGUAAGGUGACGUAUAGGGGCUGACGCCUGCCCGGUGCUGGAAGGUUAAGAGGAGUGGUUAGCGCAAGCGAAGCUACGAAUCGAAGCCCCAGUAAACGGCGGCCGUAACUAUAACGGUCCUAAGGUAGCGAAAUUCCUUGUCGGGUAAGUUCCGACCCGCACGAAAGGCGUAACGAUUUGGGCACUGUCUCAACGAGAGACUCGGUGAAAUCAUAGUACCGGUGAAGAUGCCGGUUACCCGCGACAGGACGGAAAGACCCCGUGGAGCUUUACUGUAGCCUGAUAUUGAAAUUCGGUACAGUUUGUACAGGAUAGGUAGGAGCCUUAGAAGCGUGAGCGCUAGCUUACGUGGAGGCAUUGGUGGGAUACUACCCUAAUUGUAUUGGAUUUCUAACCCGCAGCACUUAUCGUGCUGGGAGACAGUGUCAGGCGGGCAGUUUGACUGGGGCGGUCGCCUCCUAAAGAGUAACGGAGGCGCUCAAAGGUUCCCUCAGAAUGGUUGGAAAUCAUUCAUAGAGUGUAA
rnacentral:rRNA from 1 species